ensembl:rRNA 5S_rRNA 5S ribosomal RNA
GUCUAUGGCCACACCACCCUAAAUGCGCCUGAUCUUGUCUGAUUUCGGAAGCUAAGCAGGGUCGGGCCUGGUUAGUACUUGGAUGGGAGAAAUAUUGCUUAUAAGUGUUUUAUAUU